UACGGAGGGGGCUAGCGUUGUUCGGAAUUACUGGGCGUACAGCGCGUGCAGGCGGCUUGGUAAGUCGGAAGUGAAAGCCCUCGGCUCCACAGGGGAACUGCUUUCGGAACUGCCAGGCUUGAAUGCGGGAGGGGAGAGCGGAAUUCCCGGUGUAGCGGUGAAAUGCGUAGAUAUCGGGAAGAACACCGGUGGCGAAGGCGGCUCUCUGGACCGUGAUUGACGCUGAGACGCGAAAGCGUGGGGAGCAAACAGG
rnacentral:rRNA from 1 species